AUUGAACGCUGGCGGCAGGCCUAACACAUGCAAGUCGAGCGGAUGAAGGGAGCUUGCUCCUGGAUUCAGCGGCGGACGGGUGAGUAAUGCCUAGGAAUCUGCCUGGUAGUGGGGGAUAACGUCCGGAAACGGGCGCUAAUACCGCAUACGUCCUGAGGGAGAAAGGGGGGGAUCUUCGGACCUCACGCUAUCAGAUGAGCCUAGGUCGGAUUAGCUAGUUGGUGGGGUAAAGGCCUACCAAGGCGACGAUCCGUAACUGGUCUGAGAGGAUGAUCAGUCACACUGGAACUGAGACACGGUCCAGACUCCUACGGGAGGCAGCAGUGGGGAAUCUUGGACAAUGGGCGAAAGCCUGAUCCAGCCAUGCCGCGUGUGUGAAGAAGGUCUUCGGAUUGUAAAGCACUUUAAGUUGGGAGGAAGGGCAGUAAGUUAAUACCUUGCUGUUUUGGCGUUACCAACAGAGUAAGCACCGGCUAACUUCGUG
rnacentral:rRNA from 1 species